rnacentral:rRNA from 1 species
UACGUAGGGUGCGAGCGUUGUCCGGAAUUAUUGGGCGUAAAGAGCUUGUAGGCGGUCUGUCGCGUCUGCUGUGAAAAUCCGGGGCUCAACCCCGGACUUGCAGUGGGUACGGGCAGACUAGAGUGUGGUAGGGGAGACUGGAAUUCCUGGUGUAGCGGUGAAAUGCGCAGAUAUCAGGAGGAACACCGAUGGCGAAGGCAGGUCUCUGGGCCACAACUGACGCUGAUGCGCGAAAGCUAGGGGAGCAAACAGG